rnacentral:rRNA from 1 species
UACAGAGGGUGCAAGCGUUAAUCGGAAUUACUGGACGUAAAGCGCACGUAGGCGGUUUUUUAAGUCAGAUGUGAAAGCCCCGGGCUCAACCUGGGAAUUGCAUUUGAAACUGGGAAACUAGAGUGUGUGAGAGGGGGGUAGAAUUCCAAGUGUAGCGGUGAAAUGCGUAGAGAUUUGGAGGAAUACCAGUGGCGAAGGCGGCCCCCUGGCACAACACUGACGCUCAGGUGCGAAAGCGUGGGGAGCAAACAGG